UGGAUCAGAAUGCCACGGUGAAUACGUUCCCGGGCCUUGUACACACCGCCCGUCACACCAUGGGAGUGGGUUGCAAAAGAAGUAGGUAGCUUAACCUUCGGGAGGGCGCUUACCACUUUGUGAUUCAUGACUGGGGUGAAGUCGUAACAAGGUAACCGUAGGGGAACCUGCGGUUGGAUCACCUCCUUACCUUAAAGAAGC
rnacentral:rRNA from 2 species